UACGUAGGGGGCGAGCGUUGUCCGGAAUCAUUGGGCGUAAAGAGCGUGUAGGCGGACUGGAAGGUCUGGUGUGAAAGCCCGGGGCUCAACCCCGGGAGGCGGAUGGAUACUGCAUGGCUCGAGUCCGGAAGAGGCGAGUGGAAUUCCUGGUGUAGCGGUGAAAUGCGCAGAUAUCAGGAGGAACACCAAUGGCGAAGGCAGCUCGCUGGGACGUGACUGACGCUGAGACGCGAAAGCGUGGGGAGCAAACAGG
rnacentral:rRNA from 1 species